rnacentral:rRNA from 1 species
UACGGGGGGGGCAAGCGUUGUUCGGAAUUACUGGGCGUAAAGGGCUCGUAGGUGGCCAACUAAGUCGGACGUGAAAUCCCUCAGCUUAACUGGGGAAUUGCGUCCGAUACUGGAUGGCUUGAGUUUGGGAGAGGGAUGCGGAAUUCCAGGUGUAGCGGUGAAAUGCGUAGAUAUGUGGAGGAACACCGAUGGCGAAGGCAGCCCCCUGGGUCAAGACUGACGCUCAUGCACGAAAGCGUGGGGAGCAAACAGG